GAUCUUUCAUGCAUGGGCUGUACAGACGGUCAGUACACACACAGCACGUCAGAUCACUCCUAGAGGCUACACCAUGACUGCAGAGUUGCUAGAAGCACUUCUACAGCCCUUGUAUGACCCACUCAUGAACAUGAAUCUUAACUGUGUGCCACCACCUGCCAACCUGACUUCCAUCUUGUUCGUAAUGAUCCUCAGUCAACUUUCUCAUUUGAAAACAAAGAAGCUGCAGUCUUGAUGGACUUAAAGAUUAACAGCCACAUUGCACUGCGUGGAGACCAAGUGAAAAAUGCUGUAGAGGUUAAAAUACACUGAAAAAUCUACCCUCUGAGUGCAACAAGAAUGUAUUUUCUUUCUUGAAAAUUAUUUCUAUCUUGCAUCAAAUGUUCUUUUUUUUGCCUGUU
rnacentral:lncRNA from 1 species